rnacentral:sRNA from 1 species
UGACCGCCCUUCCCCCGCCGGGAAGGCGCCAAGGCCAUACGGACAGCCGGGUCAAAUGCCG